AUACGGAGGGUCCGAGCGUUAUCCGGAAUCAUUGGGUUUAAAGGGUCCGUAGGCGGGAAUCUAAGUCAGUGGUGAAAUCUUGCAGCUCAACUGUAAAAUUGCCAUUGAUACUGGAUUUCUUGAAUUAGUGUGAAGUGGUUAGAAUGUGUAGUGUAGCGGUGAAAUGCAUAGAUAUUACACAGAAUACCAAUUGCGAAGGCAGAUCACUAACACUAUAUUGACGCUGAGGGACGAGAGCGUGGGGAGCGAACAGGAUUAGAAACCCCAGUAGUCC
rnacentral:rRNA from 1 species